rnacentral:sRNA from 1 species
ACUUCUUAGAAGAUAGAAAGACAAAGACACAUACGAACUUCAGCUACACCAUCAAAGCUUUGAGAAGCAAGAAGAAGCUUGGUUAGUGUUUUGGAGUCGAAUAUGACUGAUAUCAUGUGUAUGAUUGAGUAUAAUAACUUAAAUCGCAA